UAGCCUUUUGAAGUGAAGCCUUUAUAUUUUUGUUGUGUUUCUGCCUGCAUAUUACUCUGUUUUUUUUAUGUUCUUUGGUGAUAGAUUCUAUUCAAUUAGUUGGGUGUGCAUGCUGACUUGUACUGAUUAAGUUUUAGCACUGUAUUUCUUAAAAAUAACAGAAAGCAGGGAUAGGUUAUUCAUUAUGCUGACUGCCAGUAGGUUCUUACCCCUGAUGUAUCACACAUUUUUUCUCUCUCUUUUGUAAUUCAAUUGCUACAAUCAAUGGGGCCACAAUGGAUGCACUACUAAUAUACUAGCUUUGAAACUCCUGUGAGCAAGUGGGCCCUAGCUUUUAUAAUAAACUUGUAGCCAUAGUCUCUAAUUCUUUUUAAGCAUGGUGCUUCUCAACUUGGUACUGGUGUUGUAGUGGUGUCUUUACCGCUGAAAGUGUGCUAAUAUUUGGUUUGAGUUGAGAGGACAAAAAAAGGUUAGUUACACUUUUGGUCCCUAAAGUAUGUGUUUUCUAAUGAUUCCCAACAUUUCAACUGUGGCAAUUUGUAAAUGGCUUUUUUUCAAAAAAUAAAAUAAAUAAAAAAAGGGGUAAUUGUUUGUUAAGAAAAUACCCCUAAUUUUGAUGACUAAUACAAACGGCAUCAAUGAUGGAAACGUUUUUUCUACAAAUUUUAUACUUUGGGUAUGAAAUCGACACAAUUGAAAUGUUAUGGACUAAAAUGAUAUAAUGCGUACUUGUAAGGGACACAUUUAUUUAUUUAUUUUUAUAAAUAAGAAGAUUCUACUAAGAUGAGCCACUAAGGGGGUGUCACCUAUUUACAAAGUAUUAAGGAACUAUACACAAAAGCAUCACUCAAAGGUCUCUACAAAAUCCAAAAAUUGAGUCAAGGACAGUUCAUCCCUCCUGAAAAACGAGCUAUACAAAGUUUACUCUUUUAAAAUUGAUUCUUUACUGUGAAAGUUUUUCUAUUCCUUUCUCCCCAAAUGAUCCAUGUGAUUGGAAAUGGGUUUAAGAACCAAGUCUUCUUCCUCCCCUCAAGAACCCCUCUCCCAGAGCAAAGAAAAUUCCCCACUUCAUUAAAGGAUAUCCACACCACACCAAACAAGAGGAGUUAAGGACCAUAGCGUCCACACCACCUCACAAUGGAAAAGAAGGUGACUUAACACUUUCUGCAUCCCACUUGCACAUGCACUUGCCUUCUUUUAAUCAAAUUAAAUGUUUAAGUGGUGACGAUUUUACCAUGAGCCACACACCAAACAAAGAAAGCCACCUUAGACGGAGAGUAUGCUAUACCUAAUGAGAGUAGCUCGACCAUGAUUGAAUACGAUUUUGAGCAUUUGAGAUGAAGCAGAAGAAGGUGGCCUUAGUGACUGUCUAAGAAAAAGGACAGCCCCAAAGAGGACAUUCUUUUGGCAUAUCUUAAGUGCUUUGAUAACAUUCAUUCAUCAAUUACUUUCUUAAAAAAGGUCUGCGGUUGAUAUAAAAGAGAUUUGCCUUUUUACUGGAUAUUGAAUAUGCCCAAUGGCUGUGUUACAUGGACUUGGCUGUUUGGGGCGAAGUACCCGUGUCAACACGACAUGACAUGGGUGUGGGAUCUGUGUCGGAAUUGCCUUCUCUCUCUUGGAUGUGAUCAAAAAGGAAGAAUGAGGUUGAGAUACUUACUUCGAUGUUUGGGUUCAAGAUCUGGAUUUGUUGAAUCAUAGCUUCAUUGACAAUUGAAUGUCCUCUAGUUGGUCCUAUUUAUAAACUAUGUUCAACAACAAAAACUUAGGCCUUUUAGUGUUUUGUAUCUGGCCAACAUCUCUAUUAAUAACAUGGGCUGUUAUAUGGCUUAUCCAUAUGAUUGAUCAUAAAAAUCAAACCAAACCUUAAGUCCCGUCGAAUGGGGUCGGCUAAUCCAUAUGAUUUAUCAUAUUUAUAAAAAAAUCGUUGUGACAACUUCUUUUUUUUGUGGAUAAAUGUUGGUACAACUUUUUUUUAACUCAUCUUCGUAUAAUAAAUAUAUUUUUAAAAAAUAACUAUUUAACGUAUCCCGUAUCCGUAUCAAUAUCCAAAUUUGGAUCCAUAUUUACGUAUCCUCAAUUUUUAGUUUUGAGGUGUUCGACUCCUAGAUACGCACCCACAGCCGAUGCCCGCACCCUAGUCCGUGUAACAUAGCCCUAUGGAACAUGAUUGGAAAUUUUAAUAUGGAAGGAUAAAUUUACAUAAAUGUUUAGUUUUGAAAUUUUAGUACCUAAAUAUUACUACACUACUAACUUAGCACUAAAACUUUUCAUUACUUAAUUUUUAGUUGUAUCCAAAAGUUACUUCAACAUGACAAGGAUCAAUGCUUGCAGCGGUUAUCAAAUUUUCCAUGCAUACCCAAGCCUAUAGAGCAUUAUGAACUGAAAAUAUGAGGUUAUGUCCCCUAAUAACUUUGUGCGCAACACUUAUUUCACAUUUGAAAAUGGAUCAUGAAGUUUUGGAGCUGAAGAGUGAAUUUUUAACAAAUGGAUUUUUUGUAGUGCCUUUCCUUUCCAUUUGAAUCUAACACACUUCUUGUGGUCCACUUUAAAUGCCAGCCCUACUGAUGUAGUAGAAUAAGUGCCCAUAGCAUAGUUGUAUUCUAUAAAUAAGUGAUGUAUUACCAUUGUACUUAGUUUUUCGGAUUAAAGAAUAUACAUUGUGAUUGGAGUAGAGCUUGGUUUCUCUCUAGCCCUUAGGGUUUACCCCUAAUUGGGGCAUUUGUCUUCUCUCUCUCAAUUUGUUCCUUGAUUUGCAUUUGGAUUGCAUCAUCCACCCCUACAGGAAAAGGGCCAUAUUUUGUGAACAUUGGCAGAACAUACUUGGGCUUCACUCUCAAUCUUAUUUCUUGAACUGGCCUAGGAAUUACCAGAAGAAUAAUAAUAGCCAUUUAAAUGGGGUUAAGAAACACAUAACAAAAACAUUGCAUGGUUCACACACAAAAUGUUAUUGUUAGAAUCUUAGCAAAAACAACCCAAAUGGUUCACUAGAAUGACAUAGAUUGCGUCAAAUUGGAUUUUCCCAAACAUUAACCAAAAAGGGUACCCACAUCAAAAACCCAAGAAGAGUAUUAAAACCAAAGCUAGAAUUCUUUCAUUUGGAUACAAGUUGUUGAUGGUUUUGCUCCAAAAUGUUUUUUGCAAUGCCGAACACCUAUCCCUAUUUUGAUGCCAAAAAUCCUUAUAAUAUUUUUUUGUGGAGAGCAAGCCCAAAUCCUUGUGCAACAGGGAAUAAAAAAUCAAUAAUCCUCCUUCCACAAAUGAAUAAAUUGCUUUAUUAAAUCACGAACUCGAGACCAAGAUGCUAGCAGAUCUAUUGUGCUUUAUGUAGCCAUUGAGUGCAAAUUCAUCAUCUUAAAUGGGUGUUUUAGGAAAAUGGACAUGCAACAUGUGUCACGCUGACGCAACAAUUUUAAAAAAAAUUACAGGACAUGACACAUGGGUUCACGUGCAAAAUAUAUGAUUCUAUAUAUUUUUUGUUAUAUAUGAAAUAUUUCGUUCAAAUAUUAUUUAAAAAAAUGCAACAUUACACUAAUUUCUACAGUUUGAAGGAGGAAUGAUUUUAUAAUUCUACAUUGUUUUUCUUUUAUCGCUAGAUCCCAAAGUUAUUUUUUUCAAACUUGUGUUUCAUGUGUAUCUUGGCAAAGUACACGUCACUAAGUGUCUGAAAUGUGUUUGGAUCUGAAAAAAUUAAAAACCAAUAGAAUACAUUUGGAUGUGUGUCCAAUACAUGUUGGGAAGUGUUUGCUAGUGUCUGACUCCAUGCUGCUUAGGUGGAAAAUGGUGGUCAUCACAUUGGAUUUUUGGUAAAAUGUUGCCUCCACACCUUGUUUUCAUUUGUGAUGAGGGUCCCUCUCUUAUUUU